CCUACGGGUGGCUGCAGUGAGGAAUAUUGGUCAAUGGGCGCGAGCCUGAACCAGCCAAGCCGCGUGAAGGAUGACUGCCCUACGGGUUGUAAACUUCUUUUAUAAAGGAAUAAAGUGAGGCACGUGUGCCUUUUUGUAUGUACUUUAUGAAUAAGGAUCGGCUAACUCCGUGCCAGCAGCCGCGGUAAUACGGAGGAUCCGAGCGUUAUCCGGAUUUAUUGGGUUUAAAGGGAGCGUAGAUGGGUUGUUAAGUUAGUUGUGAAAUAUUGCGGCUCAACCGUGGAAUUGCAAUUGAUACUGGCAGCCUUGAGUACAGUUGAGGUAGGCGGAAUUCGUGGUGUAGCGGUGAAAUGCUUAGAGAUCACGAAGAACACCGAUUGCGAAGGCAGCCUACUAAACUGCCACUGACAUUGAUGCUCGAAAGCGUGGGUAGCAAACAGGAUUAGAUACCCCAGUAGUC
rnacentral:rRNA from 1 species